UAUGUGUGUGUUUAAUUAAUUUGUAUCAAAUAAAUAGCAGUCUGUGUAACAAGAAGCUGGAAAUAUGAGAAGUGAAACCUUUGUAUUUGGAUGGAUUCAUGAUUUUUG